rnacentral:ncRNA from 1 species
UUGAGCCGUAUGCGGGGAAACUUGCACGUACGGUUCUUAGGGGGGAGGGUUCCAGUGAUGGGGCCUUCCUACCCUCC